rnacentral:rRNA from 1 species
UACGAAGGGGGCUAGCGUUGUUCGGAAUUACUGGGCGUAAAGCGCACGUAGGCGGAUCGAUCAGUCAGGGGUGAAAUCCCAGGGCUCAACCCUGGAACUGCCUUUGAUACUGUCGAUCUGGAGUAUGGAAGAGGUGAGUGGAAUUCCGAGUGUAGAGGUGAAAUUCGUAGAUAUUCGGAAGAACACCAGUGGCGAAGGCGGCUCACUGGCCCGUUACCGACGCUCAGGCGCGACAGCGUGGGGAGCAAACAGG